rnacentral:rRNA from 1 species
ACUCCUACGGGAGGCAGCAGUGGGGAAUAUUGCACAAUGGGCGCAAGCCUGAUGCAGCCAUGCCGCGUGUAUGAAGAAGGCCUUCGGGUUGUAAAGUACUUUCAGCGGGGAGGAAGGGAGUAAAGUUAAUACCUUUGCUCAUUGACGUUACCCGCAGAAGAAGCACCGGCUAACUCCGUGCCAGCAGCCGCGGUAAUACGGAGGGUGCAAGC